GGUUAAGCGACUAAGCGUACACGGUGGAUGCCCUGGCAGUCAGAGGCGAUGAAGGACGUGCUAAUCUGCGAAAAGCGCCGGCGAGGUGAUAUGAACCCUUGACCCGGCGAUGUCCGAAUGGGGAAACCCAGUGUGUUCCGACACACUAUCGUUAACUGAAUACAUAGGUUAACGAGGCGAACCGGGGGAACUGAAACAUCUAAGUACCCCGAGGAAAAGAAAUCAACCGAGAUUCCCCCAGUAGCGGCGAGCGAACGGGGAGCAGCCCGGAGUCUGAAUCAGCUUGUGUGUUAGUGGAACGGUCUGGAAAGUCCGACGGUACAGGGUGAUAGUCCCGUACACGAAAAUGCACAGGUUGUGAACUCGAAGAGUAGGGCGGGACACGUGGUAUCCUGUCUGAAUAUGGGGGGACCAUCCUCCAAGGCUAAAUACUCCUGACUGACCGAUAGUGAACCAGUACCGUGAGGGAAAGGCGAAAAGAACCCCGGCGAGGGGAGUGAAAAAGAACCUGAAACCGUGUACGUACAAGCAGUGGGAGCACCUUCGGGUGUGACUGCGUACCUUUUGUAUAAUGGGUCAGCGACUUAUAUUCUGUAGCAAGGUUAACCGUAUAGGGGAGCCGAAGGGAAACCGAGUCUUAACUGGGCGUUAAGUUGCAGGGUAUAGACCCGAAACCCGGUGAUCUAGCCAUGGGCAGGUUGAAGGUUGGGUAACACUAACUGGAGGACCGAACCGACUAAUGUUGAAAAAUUAGCGGAUGACCUGUGGCUGGGGGUGAAAGGCCAAUCAAACCGGGAGAUAGCUGGUUCUCCCCGAAAGCUAUUUAGGUAGCGCCUCGUGAACUCAUCUUCGGGGGUAGAGCACUGUUUCGGCUAGGGGGCCAUCCCGGCUUACCAACCCGAUGCAAACUACGAAUACCGAAGAAUGUUAUCACGGGAGACACACGGCGGGUGCUAACGUCCGUCGUGAAGAGGGAAACAACCCAGACCGCCAGCUAAGGUCCCAAAGUCAUGGUUAAGUGGGAAACGAUGUGGGAAGGCACAGACAGCCAGGAUGUUGGCUUAGAAGCAGCCAUCAUUUAAAGAAAGCGUAAUAGCUCACUGGUCGAGUCGGCCUGCGCGGAAGAUGUAACGGGGCUAAACCAUGCACCGAAGCUGCGGCAGCGACGCUUAUGCGUUGUUGGGUAGGGGAGCGUUCUGUAAGCCGUUGAAGGUGUGCUGUGAGGCAUGCUGGAGGUAUCAGAAGUGCGAAUGCUGACAUAAGUAACGAUAAAGCGGGUGAAAAGCCCGCUCGCCGGAAGACCAAGGGUUCCUGUCCAACGUUAAUCGGGGCAGGGUGAGUCGACCCCUAAGGCGAGGCCGAAAGGCGUAGUCGAUGGGAAACAGGUUAAUAUUCCUGUACUUGGUGUUACUGCGAAGGGGGGACGGAGAAGGCUAUGUCAGCCGGGCGACGGUUGUCCCGGUUUAAGCAUGUAGGCGGAGGUUCCAGGUAAAUCCGGUACCUUUUAACGCUGAGGUGUGAUGACGAGGCACUACGGUGCUGAAGUGAUAAAUGCCCUGCUUCCAGGAAAAGCCUCUAAGCAUCAGGUAACACGAAAUCGUACCCCAAACCGACACAGGUGGUCAGGUAGAGAAUACCAAGGCGCUUGAGAGAACUCGGGUGAAGGAACUAGGCAAAAUGGUGCCGUAACUUCGGGAGAAGGCACGCUGAUAUGUAGGUGAAGCCCCUGCGGGCGGAGCUGAAAUCAGUCGAAGAUACCAGCUGGCUGCAACUGUUUAUUAAAAACACAGCACUGUGCAAACACGAAAGUGGACGUAUACGGUGUGACGCCUGCCCGGUGCCGGAAGGUUAAUUGAUGGGGUUAGCGGCAACGCGAAGCUCUUGAUCGAAGCCCCGGUAAACGGCGGCCGUAACUAUAACGGUCCUAAGGUAGCGAAAUUCCUUGUCGGGUAAGUUCCGACCUGCACGAAUGGCGUAAUGAUGGCCAGGCUGUCUCCACCCGAGACUCAGUGAAAUUGAACUCGCUGUGAAGAUGCAGUGUACCCGCGGCAAGACGGAAAGACCCCGUGAACCUUUACUAUAGCUUGACACUGAACACUGGUCCUUGAUGUGUAGGAUAGGUGGGAGGCUUUGAAGCGUGGACGCCAGUCUGCGUGGAGCCGCCCUUGAAAUACCACCCUUUAAUGGCUGGUGUUCUAACGUAGACCCGUGAUCCGGGUUGCGGACAGUGUCUGGUGGGUAGUUUGACUGGGGCGGUCUCCUCCCAAAGAGUAACGGAGGAGCACGAAGGUUGGCUAAUCCUGGUCGGACAUCAGGAGGUUAGUGCAAUGGCAUAAGCCAGCUUGACUGCGAGCGUGACGGCGCGAGCAGGUGCGAAAGCAGGUCAUAGUGAUCCGGUGGUUCUGAAUGGAAGGGCCAUCGCUCAACGGAUAAAAGGUACUCCGGGGAUAACAGGCUGAUACCGCCCAAGAGUUCAUAUCGACGGCGGUGUUUGGCACCUCGAUGUCGGCUCAUCACAUCCUGGGGCUGAAGUAGGUCCCAAGGGUAUGGCUGUUCGCCAUUUAAAGUGGUACGCGAGCUGGGUUUAGAACGUCGUGAGACAGUUCGGUCCCUAUCUGCCGUGGGCGCUGGAGAAUUGAGGGGGGCUGCUCCUAGUACGAGAGGACCGGAGUGGACGCAUCACUGGUGUUCGGGUUGUCAUGCCAAUGGCACUGCCCGGUAGCUAAAUGCGGAAGAGAUAAGUGCUGAAAGCAUCUAAGCACGAAACUUGCCCCGAGAUGAGUUCUCCCUGAGACCUUGAGUCUCCUGAAGGAACGUUAAAGACGAUGACGUUGAUAGGUCGGGUGUGUAAGCGCAGCGAUGCGUUGAGCUAACCGAUACUAAUGAACCGUGAGGCUUAACCUU
rnacentral:rRNA from 1 species